rnacentral:snRNA from 1 species
GAACCGCUUGAUCUAUAUUUGUUC